UAUGUGUUGGGAGAACUCGAUCCUGUUUGAAGAAAACAAUCUGCAAUAAAAAUUUGCUUUAAGAUCACUGUGGGGCACAGGGAAGAACGCAGUCCAGAAGUCCUUAAAAAAGUACCCAUUGUUGAACCAGGCCCUCUGAAGUUAGGGCCCCACAAGAACAAAAUUCCACAAUCCCAGCAGUGCUACCUAAUGUCGCCUGGCUCCCCGAGGUAAGGCCUCCUGUGUAGAAAAGAGCUCUCACAGCACGCCUGAGACUUCUCUUCCUAGAAAAGCCUGCUGCAGGGGAAGGAGCAGACAGGAGAAAAUAAUAGAAUAUACCAUUUAUGCUGGGAAAUGCAUUGAGUCAACUUAAUUGCUCUACAGAAACCCUGGGCUUAAAUACUAACACCAUGAAGGACAAGAGUCUGUGUCUCCCCUCCCAAGAAGACAAAACAUGGCUAACUCAAAAACCACUGGAAAAGUGAGUAAUUUCUUAUCAAAGCCAAGCCAUUCAGUAUUAUUUCUGUGGCUGCCAGUGUUGUUUCAAAUAAGU
rnacentral:lncRNA from 1 species